rfam:Enterococcus canis strain DSM 17029 Scaffold19, whole genome shotgun sequence.
CCUGCGGAGUGUUAUAGCAAACGAGAGUAGCGAGCAAGUGGCAAAAUCGGACACGUAGAAACAGGAA